GACGAACGCUGGCGGCGUGCCUAAUACAUGCAAGUAGAACGCUGAAGGAGGAGCUUGCUUCUCCGGAUGAGUUGCGAACGGGUGAGUAACGCGUAGGUAACCUGCCUGGUAGCGGGGGAUAACUAUUGGAAACGAUAGCUAAUACCGCAUAACAGUAGAUGUUGCAUGACAUUUGCUUAAAAGGUGCAAUUGCAUUACUACCAGAUGGACCUGCGUUGUAUUAGCUAGUUGGUGAGGUAACGGCUCACCAAGGCGACGAUACAUAGCCGACCUGAGAGGGGGAUCGGCCACACUGGGACUGAGACACGGCCCAGACUCCUACGGGAGGCAGCAGUAGGGAAUCUUCGGCAAUGGACGGAAGUCUGACCGAGCAACGCCGCGUGAGUGAAGAAGGUUUUCGGAUCGUAAAGCUCUGUUGUAAGAGAAGAACGAGUGUGAGAGUGGAAAGUUCACACUGUGACGGUAUCUUACCAGAAAGGGACGGCUAACUACGUG
rnacentral:rRNA from 1 species